rnacentral:rRNA from 1 species
UACGGGGGGGGUAAGCGUUGUUCGGAAUUACUGGGCGUAAAGGCUCGUAGGCGGCCAACUAAGUCAGACGUGAAAUCCCUCAGCUUAACUGGGGAACUGCGUCUGAUACUGGAUGGCUUGGAUUUGGGAGAGGAAUGCGGAAUUCCAGGUGUAGCGGUGAAAUGCGUAGAUAUCUGGAGGAACACCGGUGGCGAAGGCGGCAUUCUGGACCAAUAUUGACGCUGAGGAGCGAAAGCCAGGGGAGCAAACGGG